GUAACAAGGUUUCCGUAGGUUGAACCUGCGGAAGGAUCAUUA
rnacentral:rRNA from 1 species